rnacentral:lncRNA from 1 species
GCUAAAGUAUCACAAAACAGCAUAAUGUAACAGUGUUUCAAAAGUACAUAUAGGAAAAGAAAUCCUAAAGGAUCUAAGCCUCAACAUCUUCAUUGCCCUCCAAGACGUUCUCCACAGAGACCUCAUUCUCCUCUGCUCACAUCCAAGUGGAUGAUCAUUGCAAAAGAAAAGCAUACAACAUGGCACAAACACAAGCAAAUGCAAGUGUGAGCUAAUUAUAUAAAAAAGUAUGCUAUUAACAGUAAAUAACAUUCAAGAACAAACUCAAAAUCAAGUAAAGUAAGACACACAUCCUAUACAUGUUAUUUUCUAGACUUGACUCGUCUGGACUUUAGAAUGAUAGUCAAGCUAUGGCAGGCAAAGCGCCCGUGGUGGCUUGUGAUACUGAGCUCCCCCGCCCUAGGCUCCCCCGCCCUGCCACACUCACGAGGUUAGUUUGUUCCGUGCCCUGAAGCAUGAUGGAAGCCUCCAAGACUCAGACCUCCUGCUACUCCUCACCACACAGUCCAGUCCUCUCUACGUGAGAAGAAAGGCCAUUGGAGCGUCAGGAAGACCCCCAAGACUGAACUCCUACUUUCAUUCUAAAACACUAAGAAUCUCACUAUGAGAUUCUACACAUAUGGAACUUGGUUUACCACUUGGAUCGUACUUUCAUCACUUUGUAAUCAUAUACUUUUUUUUUUCCAAUCAACAUAUACAUAAUCUCAACAAUAUACAUUACUCACAAAUCACAAGUUAUGAAAGUAACUGCUCCAUAAUUGAAUUUCAGUAGUAGAUAUUAACUCGUCAAACACAAGGUUUUACUUCAACAAAUAAAAUAUUACCACAACACAUAAAAAUUAUGCAACUUUUAUAAUUUAUUUUACAUACAUAAUAAUUCCUCAUUUGUUUCAUCUCUUAAUUUAUAUGUUUAUUUACUAACAAAACAUAAAACUACUAUUAUAAUGAUAAUAGUAUAUAAUUUAAAUUUAUGCCAGUCAAUAAAUUAAUUAGAGGUUAAACUUACAGAAUUCUAAUAUUAAUAUAUUAUAAUAUAAUAUUAACAAAACUAAGUUAACAUUUCUAUACUGUUAUAUAUCUAAUAUAUAUACUAAUCUGUAUAAGUUGAUAAUUAUUAUAUAAUAUAAAAGGUUCACCACAAAAAUUAUAGAAUAAGCAUAUUAUGUAAUAUAUAAUAUUAUGAAAUAUAUAAUAUAACGUAAUAUACUAUUUAAUCUUAGCAUUGCUAUUUCCAAAACUAAGUUACAGUAUUCCUAUCCUUUAAAAGGUUUUCCCAAACUUUUAAAAAAGAACAAGUAUGAUUCAUUUCUUUAAUAAAAGCAUCACAUAAACUAAGAAUUGUUUAUACAAGGUCUCUGCAUCACGUGAUCAACCAAUUUAAACAUAAAUUAUACAUCAUAGAAUAUAAAAUACAAAAUAUAUUUAACAUUAUACAAUCUAAUAUUUUUUUUCAGAAUAUAUAACUUAAAUUAUAACUUUUGUAUUUUAAAUUGUCUAUUUCAAAAUAAAAUAAAUAUAUUUUAAAUUGUAUAUUUUAAAAUCUAAGAUAAAAAUACAUUAUAAAAAAAUGCUUAAAUUUACUUAUAAAUUACAGAAUCCUUAUGGAAUCAUAAUAUUUAUGAAGAUUAUGGAAGUGCAAGAAAAUAUAUUCAUAAGACAUACUAAGAAAUUUUUACAUGGCACUGUAAAGAUAUAAAAAUAUAAAUCACAUCUCCUCUGCCAAUUCACAACACUUCUUCCUUUUUAUAUUUCUCAAACAAUCUUACAGUACCCAUACUUAUAUAAUAAAUAUGCAGAAAACUCCAUUCCUCUUAUCUUCACUAAACCCAUCUAUAUUUCAACAAUCAAUCCCAUCAUAACAACUUACAACCAAUACAUUUUUACAUGCACAAUUUUCAGAAUCAUAACACAAGUCAAUUUAUACUCAACAGGUACAUAACAGUUUAAAUCAACACAUAAUUCAGGAUUCAACAUGCAUAUAUCUCAUAAAUUAAUUUCAAACAAAAAUAACUAGCUUCCCUUACCUUGGGUUUUCACGGUAAGCUAAUUUGA